rnacentral:rRNA from 1 species
GUUUGAUCCUGGCUCAGAGCGAACGUUAGCGGCGGGCCUAACACAUGCAAGUCGAACGAGAAUGUAGGCUUCGGCCUAUUAGUAAAGUGGCGGACGGGUGCGUAACACGUGGGUAAUCUACCUUCCGGCGGGGGACAACAGUCCGAAAGGACUGCUAAUACCGCGUACGUCAGCGGCGCCUACGGGCGCUGUUGGGAAAGAUGGCCUCUCUUCAGAAGCUGUCACCGGAAGAUGAGCCCGCGCCCCAUCAGCUAGUUGGUGAGGUAAUGGCUCACCAAGGCUUAGACGGGUAGCUGGUCUGAGAGGAUGAUCAGCCACACUGGGACUGCGACACGGCCCAGACUCCUACGGGAGGCAGCAGUGGGGAAUAUUGGGCAAUGGGCGCAAGCCUGACCCAGCCACGCCGCGUGAGUGAUGAAGGCCUUCGGGUCGUAAAGCUCUGUGGGGAGGGACGAAUAAGCCCGGUAUUAACACCACCGGGCCCUGACGGUACCUCCUUAGCAAGCACCGGCUAACCCUGUGCCAGCAGCCGCGGUAAUACAGGGGGUGCAAACGUUGCUCGGAAUUAUUGGGCGUAAAGCGCACGUAGGCGGUUUGUUAUGUCGGAUGUGAAAGCCCUUGGCUCAACCGAGGAAGUGCAUCCGAAACUGGCAAGCUAGAGUAUGUAAGAGGGUCGCGGAAUUCCCGGUGUAGAGGUGAAAUU